CUACGGCCAUACCAUGCUGAAUAUGCCGGUUCUCAUUCGAUCACCGAAGUCAAGCAUCAUCGAGCACGUCAACCCUUGGGAGGGUGACCACAUGGAAGCACCACGAGCCGUUG